rnacentral:rRNA from 1 species
GAGCGAAGGAUCCAAGCGUUAUCCGGAUUUAUUGGGUUAAAGGGUGGCGUAGGCGGAUUGAUAAGUCAGUGGUGAAAGCCUGUUAGCCUUAACAACAGAACUGCCAUUGAUACUGUCAAUCUUGAAUAGUGUUGAUGUGGGCGGAAUAUGACAUGUAGCGGUGAAAUGACUUAGAUAUGACAUAGAACACCAAUUGCGAAGGCAGCUCACUACAGAGUCAUUGACGCUGAGGCAACGAAAGCGUGGGGAUCAAACAGG